UACGGAGGAUGCAAGCGUUAUCCGGAAUGAUUGGGCGUAAAGCGCCCGCAGGCGGCAGUUCAAGUCUGCUGUCAAAGACCGGGGCUUAACUUCGGAAAGGCAGUGGAAACUGAACAGCUAGAGUAUGGUAGGGGCAGAGGGAAUUCCUGGUGUAGCGGUGAAAUGCGUAGAGAUCAGGAAGAACAUCGGUGGCGAAGGCGCUCUGCUGGACCAUAACUGACACUCAGGGACGAAAGCUAGGGGAGCGAAUGGG
rnacentral:rRNA from 1 species